UGGGGAAUAUUGCACAAUGGGCGCAAGCCUGAUGCAGCCAUGCCGCGUGUAUGAAGAAGGCCUUCGGGUUGUAAAGUACUUUCAGCGGGGAGGAAGGCGAUAAGGUUAAUAACCUUGUCGAUUGACGUUACCCGCAGAAGAAGCACCGGCUAACUCCGUGCCAGCAGCCGCGGUAAUACGGAGGGUGCAAGCGUUAAUCGGAAUUACUGGGCGUAAAGCGCACGCAGGCGGUCUGUCAACUCGGAUGUGAAAUCCCCGGGCUCAACCUGGGAACUGCAUUCGAAACUGGCAGGCUAGAGUCUUGUAGAGGGGGGUAGAAUUCCAGGUGUAGCGGUGAAAUGCGUAGAGAUCUGGAGGAAUACCGGUGGCGAAGGCGGCCCCCUGGACAAAGACUGACGCUCAGGUGCGAAAGCGUGGGGAGCAAACA
rnacentral:rRNA from 1 species